GGUCCCAUCGUCUAGUGGCCUAGGACACCAGGUUUUCAUCCUGGCAACAGGGGUUCGAUUCCCCUUGGGAUCA
rnacentral:tRNA from 1 species